AACAUCUCCGCACAUGAGCGUUGCUCGGGGUGGAGUAGUCAAACCAAGUAGCAUUUUACUUCGUAGUUAAUGGCUAUUGCUAAUUUGCUAAUUUCUUGGGGUUCAUUUGAUUGUGCGCGUGCACUUGCACUGGGGGUUGGGGUUUGGUUUCUGAAGUAGGCUAUUGUGGGAACGCAAAUUACCUUGUGAACUACAUAUUCUUCAGGAUUGCCACCGUUUACUUGCUUUCUGGAUCUGUACCCUAUUUCAUUUGUGACGUUGGGUUGUGGUUUUCACAAGUCAUAAUAACAUUGGAUGAGCUUGAAGCAAGUCCAUCUAAUCUCUGCGCAAGAUACAACCGCCCAUGGAGGAGCAGCCAUCGGAGAGAGAGAGGAGCUCCAGUGCUUCCUGUCUGCCGAGCCAGAGAGCAGAGAGAGGGAGAGAGUCCAGGCAGCGCCGCAAUCUGUCUCAACAGCAGCCCACUUUCCCUGGAGUCUCCCUCACGCAAGCAUCUGAAGAGGCUCCUAGUCAUUACCAGCCUUCUUCAUUAUUCAUCCAGGUCCCGAGAGGGCUCCCUCACGCUGUCACGCGCCCGUCACACCAGCACGGGCUCUGGAUCCCUCCACCACAGUCUGGUGGGUUAAGGAGUUUGGAGCUUUCUACCGUACACAUGCUCACAACGUACACGGAGGUGAGGGCCAGCCAACCUUGGACCUGGCAUUUUCUUUUAAU